rnacentral:lncRNA from 1 species
AUAGUAUUCUACAAAGAAAUUAGAAAUCUUUAUUCAAUAGAAGAAUGAUAUUUAGAAUAUCUGUUAUAUAUUUUCAGCUAGAAAAUCUACAUUUUCCUUUGUUAGUUAAUUACUUAGAACCAAUAAACAAAGUUCUUGGAGUUCUUUGGGAAAAUGGUCUUGUCUUAAAAAGCAGACAUCUAUAAAAUGCCAGCCGUUGAAGUCAGGAGUGACUGCAUCGUCUCCCUAACCAAUUUAUAGACCAAAAUGGCUGAUGUCCAUUUUAGGUUUACCUUAUACGUGGCUUUUAAUAUAAAAAUAGUAACAUUUGUGGUUGAAUAUUGACCUCUGCAUAUUUAAACCCAUUUAAUAACAGAUUGCAUUAUUUUAUCAGGGUUUAUGUAAUAUUUCUAAAACAUGUUAUGAUAAUAUAUUGACCAAGAAGAUAACCAUGGAAGAGUUCAGUGGAUUUAUGAUUCUAUUUCAUGCCUCAUCACAUCACUUCAAAGAUUAUACUCUUGGGAGACAACGAAACCUUAGCUCUAAGAAGCUACACCAUAAAAUGAGAGAUGGCUUUAAGUAUUAUUCAUUUCUCAGAUAUAAUAACACAGGGAAAAUUGUCAGACUAGAAACCAGAAUUGUUUGAUUUUGACACUUACAGUGGUGGUACUGAGGGCUGGUUGGAGGGGGAGGUUAAGUAAGUGGAACUCGCAUCUUAGAAGAUAACGAUCAGAAUUAAGAAUGAUCUUCUUAAAUUGGAAACAAACAACUCACAGAAUACGGAACUUCAUAGAAACUGAAAGCUGGAAUGUAACUUGAAAAUAAUCCUUUCCAAAACCACAUUUAAUAGGUGAGGACAUGAAGAUCCAGAAAUGUGGAGUGAGUGGUCCAAGGUCACACUGCUAGUUUUUCAUAGGUGUUGUGCUAGAACCUAGACUUCCAGUCCCCUAGCUCAGUGUUCUUUCUAAUGCAUCCAGUUCCUCAGGGACAAAGGAGUAUCAUACACUGGGGAAGAAGGAAAGCGCACUGCCAAGUCUGCCUUCCAGUCUCUUCUCUAUCUAGAUAAUAGUACUUUCGAAGGCAGGACCCUGUCUCCACGUUUUCCUCAAAGUGACUAUGACUCUGCAACUCAGAGUUGCUCAGCUGCUGUUGCUGUUGGAUCACUGGAAGGUCUGGCUGGUCAUGUAUACACUGAGCAAGAAAAGUUCUUCAACAUUACAGGGAAGUUAACGUAUGGGCAAGUUAACUGUAGCUUAGAAAACAAGCAUAAUGUAGAAAUAAACAAGACAAUGGCAUGCAAGGACCAGAAAAUACAUGAUUUUCUUUUUUCAGUCUUUCUUGGGCUAUUUUCAAGAUUCUGCUAAGCAUUGGGUUCCACUCUUUUUUGCUAAGGAGAGGUAAGAACCUGGAAAGGGUGUAGUUUCUGAGAGAACAAUACUCUCUGACACAUAGAUACUAUAUAACUAAUCUUAUUCUCUAACCACAGAUGCCUCAAAGGCAAGGCUGCCCAUGUGUAGUUCUCUAGCUUGUUCAGUGGAUAAAGGUUUCUGACUAGGCCAGCCUAGUGGCGUAGCAGUUAGGUUCUCGUGCUCUGCUUAAGAAACCAGGGGUUCGCAGAUUCAGAUCCCAGGCACGGACCUAGCACCACUUGUCAGACCACACUGUGGCGGCAUCCCACAUAAAGUGGAGGAGGAUUGGCAUAGAUGUUAGCUCAUUAACAGCCUUCCUCAAGCAAAAAGAGGAAGAUUGGCAACAGAUGUUAGCUCAGGGCCAAUCUUCCUCACAAAGAAAAGAAAAACAAAGGUGCCUGACCAAGGGACAAGGAGGGGGCACCUUUUCUAAUUGGCCUUUUCAGAGGAGGGGCCCUUUUUUAAAUGGUCUGCCCGGAGAGUGGCAUCUUUUCAUAAUUCUCACAAAGGCACCUUAGAGGCAGUCCCCCUGAAAGAUGAGUCCUGACUAAAGGUCAGAAGGAACAAUGGGACAUAAACAAUGGCUUACCCCCUGGCACACAAACUUGGAGACGUUAGAGCAAAGGCAUGAGGAGGCACAAAGCAAUAUAAAAAAAAAUACCUCCAAGGAAUUGUAGGAGGAACUGAGUUUAUUUAACUUGAAAAAGAGACGCGGUACGUAUUAAAAGAUGGUUAAAAAAGUAAAAAAGGUGAACUCUUUCAAAGAAUAGAGUGACUUGUUGCUCUUUAAUUUCAUCCUAAGGGGAUCAAUAGGGAUUUAUUGGAGAAAUAGAAUCCCCUCCAGACAAUGAAGACUAUUAACAUUAGAGAUUGUGGCAUUUCCUCUUCAAGAGACUUCAUAACAUGGGAUGUAUUCCCAUUUGGGAAGAAUGUUAGUUGACUCAGCCUGUCGAUAUUAGAGCAUUAACUGAAGGUUUCUAAAUAUAAAGGUGUUGUUUUUGUUCAUUUCUGGGGGAAAAGGAAGUAUGUGAGGCCCUUGGCUUUUGUGGAGGCUGUGUUCUGAGAGUUCUUCUCCAGCGGGGAGAUUCGUUAGUGCCUGCAAUUGCUGUGCAGAGAGCUGCUGGAGAUGCCAAGGGCCAUGGGUCCAGGAAUUAGGAGAUCCUUAUGCUAGUACAAAUAUCUCUCUUUGUAAAAAGGUUUUAGUCUUUUCCCUUGCUUUUCUUCUCCUACAAUCAAAUCUAGUUUUCCCCAAGGCAGUCUCAUUUAUUUGAAUGUUUAAUAAGCAGUAACUACUGUUAUUAUCUUGUGAAUCCCCUGCUCUGGGCACACAAUGUUCUUCCCUGUUUCCAGAACAUGCUCCUUACCUUUUCUCACAUUCACUUAUUUUUGCAUUCACUCAACAAAUAUUUAUUAGACCUGUGUAUGUAUCAGUAUUGUGCUGAUGACUGAGGAUCAAAUGGUGAAUUGGAUAUAACUCCUACCCUCAAGAAUUUCACAUUUUAGUGGAAAAACAGGCAAGUAAACAAUACUGUUUCCCAGAUCAGAUACUCACAUCCUAAAAUGGUUUCCUGCAUCUGUCAAAUACUGAAAUUCUAUCCAAUGUACCCACCCAGACACUGACUUUUUUCUACACAUAUGAGAUUUUUCAUGUUACUUUAUGUACACAGAAUGUAUGUAUGUAUAUGGUACACACAUAUCUUGUGUAUAUACCUCUUGAGUUUGUGUGUGUCCAUCUAUCAUCUAGCUAGCUAGCUUUGUCCUCAAACUAAAUUUUAAGAUAAAUAAUAAAAAUAAUAACUAAUAUCUUAUUGCUAGUUUACUAGAAACCUGGUGCUAUUCUUAGUGCUUAACACGUAAUCAUGUUAUCUAUUCCUCACAGCUAUCUCUCUGAGUGUUGGUACAAUUGUCAUCCCCAUUUGCAGAUGAAGGUAGCUGAGCACUGAGAGGUUAGGUAAUUUGCCCAAGGUUACAGAGCUAAUGAGCAGCAAAGCCAGGGUUUGAACCCAGAAGUCUGACUGAAGGCCCUCCACUUGAUGUUAAGUCAGAGACCACAUUCAUAUUUGUCUCUCCAUGAUGGCACUUAGAAGAAUGUUCAACAUACAUAAACAACAUCUCCUAAUAUUUGUCUGGUGACUUCGAGGCUACAAAGAACUUUA